CCCACAACACUGCUCACAACAGUGUGAGUGUUUGUGUGUGUGAGGGCGAAGGUGUGCGUUCACUGCUCUCCUCUGCGGAAGUCUACAAAGAGAAGUCUACAAAGAGAAGUCUGCAAAGAGAAGUCUGCAAAGAGAAGUCUACAAAGAGAAGUCUGCAAAGAGAAGUCUACAAAGAGAAGUCUGCAAAGAGAAGUCUACAAAGAGAAGUCUGCAAAGAGAAGUCUGCAAAGAGAAGUCUACAAAGAGAAGUCUACAAAGAGAAGUCUGCAAAGAGAAGGAGAUUCAAACCGACAGACAGGCGGCUCCAAAAGCAAAAGGAGCCAGUCCACCUAUCCUCGACCUAUCAUUCUCCACUUUCUUUUUGUCAACAACCCCCCCCCCCCCCCCAACAUAAAUAAAUACGAACAAAAACAGCAUGGGUGGAAGCGAUAGUGAGGAGUGGGAUGAAAAGUACCCGGACACAAUGCAAACUCAGCCCAAGAGCCACAAGGACAAGGAGAGCGUGAGCUCCGGGAGGAAAUGUCCCAAGUGCUGCCUGCGGACACGGGACUGUCUGAUGAGCCCCGAGUGCGGCAGGGCGCUGCAGAUCUCCAGCGUCGUCGCCUGGUGCGGGAUGUGCAUCCGCAUGUUUGUGUAACCAGACCUUGGACAUCCUGACCCGCUCUCCCUGGCUUCUUUCAUUCUCAGCGUCCUCCAGCUUUUCGUCACACCAUGGUUUAUUUUUUCUUUCUUUCCAACUCAUCCGCCGAACUCCUUUAGUUCCUUGUCCACAUGUUGCACUAUUCAACAUGACAAACAAUGAAGCCGUUUCUCUGAAAAGCGUGCAGGAAAACAAACAAGGAAGGUAAUAUUCAGUGCCAUUGAAUGGCUGAAGGAAUGUGACUUUAAUGUGCUCAUCUUUGUAAAAGGUUUAUUUGAAAAAAACAUAUCUAAUUGAUCAGUAUUUAGUCAGUGCAGAUGCUGUCAUAUGUCUAUCGUCGAGAGGUUUUCAGUUAUUUAAAAAAAUUGUAAAAAAAUUAUGUUGGUAAUAAAAACUAUGUGAACUUGACUACAUUAUGUUUGGAGGACUUAACCCCAGUAGUUUAACCCCCGUCGCCGUCUUAGAAUAACAGUGACACGACCAGAAAGAUUAGGACCCAUCUAGAGUGAUGAAGACAUUUAUAACCAAACUUUCAGUGACAGCUCUGUAACAAGGACAAAAGUGUGCUCGGUUCAAUGCGACAUGUAAUAGAGACCUGCGGUUAAUUAAAAUGCUUUGACAAGCGCGAUGCGACUUCAUGACAUCAGCGUCAACUCCUUCGUCUGAGGUCGUUCUGGGGGGAAAAAGUUAGUAAUUGCACUGAAAAUAACCAAACCAACAAAGAAUAUAGUUAAUUGUUUUAAUGUCAAGGGGACAUUUACAACGUUGACUUUCACAGAAGCUAGGGCAAGUUGUUUCUCAGACAGGCAACACGUCGCUCAGCCUGUCCGCUGAAGCACGGAGCAGGUUCGGGGCGUCGUCAUUGGGAAACGGAGAAAACAAUCUCAUAUUCGCUCGCUCGCUCUUGCACAUUCAUGCAACAAGAUCAUCCGAUCGUCAGAACAAGAGCGAAACGUGUCAAACAUUUGACCAAAUACGAAGCUAACGACGUUCGGCUGCGCAGGGUCGGCACUGCUCGUGCUUUCAGUUGAACCAGUGUCAUAUAAUCUUCUGAUCGAUAAGCAAUCGAGGAGAGUGAUUGUGAAUAACACAAGAGGUUAAAUAGAGGAUAAGAUGUCAUUGUCAAAAUCAAGAGAAGAAAAAAAGAAAGAAACAACUUGAUGGGUACAGCGACCGCCUAGGAACUCCAGAAUGCCGGAUAAUCACCCUUUGAUUAUUUUGUACUUUCCCAGCUAUGCGCUGCGUGCAAACUAGCAGGCUUCGCCCAACGUACGGUAGUACAGCGCAAACAGAGCAGAACGACAAAUCCCCUGUUGCUUUCCUGUUUGAAGCAGCGGUGAAGCCUCGAAAAAACUCCUCCAAUAGAUUCAUCAUCGGAGCUCAGAGACACAACGAAAGAGCCCAUUACGAACGUGGUUGCGAGAGUAAUACUGAGGUUAAAACCCACGGGGACGAGCGUGGACUCUCUGAGAAUCAUGUGUAGUUAAUCUCUCUCCCUCCUUUGCUUUUUAUUUGGUAUUAUUGUUUCUUUUCCUUUUUCUUUCUUCCUCUAGAGUUCUCCGAUCCUCUGUCUCCCGUCCUGUCGCUGCCUCUUGUGUGCCACCGUGUCAGCGUAUGGCAUCACAAUACAGAGGGUGACAUUUCAAGCAGACAGAUUAGGGCUUCUCUCCAAUUAAUUUUGCUUUCCGUCCCCCUGUUAAAUACACAAUCAACCGAAGGCGAAAUGUCAGUGAAACAAACGAGGAUCCGCCCGCGUAGCUGACAAUUACCCGCCAAGCACCGCAGAAAUGCCAAUAUGUUAAAGUGGGAGCAGUGUGUGAGAUGAAUGGGGACGAAUGGCAAUCUUCGAGGAGGCUUGUUGUUCCGGCGGCGCUGACCGGCGCCAUGUGUGCGCGGUCACCUGCCAUGGUCACACGAUGAAGUGACAGACGACACGUCAGUGGAAAGAUCAAUAAAGGUUUUGAAUCAUA